GGCCGGUUGGCGAAGUGGGAACGCAGCGAGCUUUGACCUCGUUAUUGAGUAGGUUCGAUCCCUACACCGGACGCCA
rnacentral:tRNA from 1 species